rnacentral:piRNA from 1 species
UGGGGACACAUCAGAGUGUGGGAUUCGGU